CGUCCUCGUCUCCUCGUCUCCGCCCCGACGCCGGUGUCUCGCAUAGCCGCCGCCGUCGCCGCCUUCUUCGUUCGGCCGCCCACAUCUCGUCGCCCCAACCGCUGCUGUUGCCCGUCCCCGGCCUCGUCGAGCUCUCCUCCGACCCUCCCCGUGGCUGAUCUGAGUUGGACCAUCCUCUGCAGCCAACUUCUCUUCGGCAAGAGGAAGAAAGGAGAAUCAGGGUACGGUUUCAUGGCUAGAAGAUAUAUUGCUGUACCCCGAGUGAAGGGAUAUCAUUGCAUACCUGCGCAUAUAUUUCUGUUGUGAGCAUAACUCCAGAAUUUAUUUAUCUGUGAUUCGUAUUGGGUUAAUAAUCUGCAGCUAGUUGUAUUUUUAAUUCACUAGCCUUUUACUUAUACAUGAGAGAAGUGGGAAGCUAAGUCAAUAGGAGCUAAACUCAACCCUUGGCUUGUUACAUGAGCUCAAACUAGUACCUAGUGAGUGUUUCAUGUACUGAACUUGGAUUUCCGGUGUUUUUGUAACAUCCAUGUAAGGUUUCGUUCGGUAUAUUAAAUCCUAUGAAAUUAUCAAAGUGUGUUGUACUAUGUUGGACAGAAUUUUAUGUUUGGACUUGGGUGAAUGUAAACAGACUUAUACUCU